CGAUGUUGUGAUGAUGGGCACAAUGUUCAACUGCUCUGACAGGGCUGAGUGAAAAGAGCCUUUCUGAACAUCA